rnacentral:rRNA from 1 species
CAGUAGCCACGGGAACACGUAGGGUGCGAGCGUUGUCCGGAAUUAUUGGGCGUAAAGAGCUUGUAGGCGGUCUGUCGCGUCUGCUGUGAAAACCCGAGGCUCAACCUCGGGCCUGCAGUGGGUACGGGCAGACUAGAGUGCGGUAGGGGAGAACGGAACUCCUGGUGUAGCGGUGGAAUGCGCAGAUAUCAGGAAGAACACCGAUGGCGAAGGCAGUUCUCUGGGCCGUAACUGACGCUGAGAAGCGAAAGCGUGGGGAGCGAACAGGAUUAGAUACCCCCGUAGUCCCUGUCUCUUAUAC